UGACAGAAGAGGUGGGAUUGUAACUGCUGGGUUGAGAAGAAUCAUUAGGGCGUAUGACAAAUGCCAAGGAGUAAAGCAGCAAGAUCUAAGGAAAGCAACUGAUGGGGUUAGCUGUGGUCACCGGCUAGUCACAGCAAUUAAGCGCUGGGCCUCUUCACCGUGAUAGAAAAUAAAAAUCUAAUGUAAAAGCAGGACAUCAGAACCUGGAGGUAGUGUCAUGGUCCGUGGUCCUGUGUCUGUGGAAUGCGUGAUGCUCGGGUAGCCACACCCCCGGGCUGGGCCAUCACCAGCACACCUGCUCUCCAUCCCGGUGAUUACACGGAGAUCCACUUAAUCCGGCGCUGACGGAUGCUCCACGCCAGUCCGUAGUCAUCCCCACAGUGGUAACCAGACUUCCACGAAAAGUGUGCAUUCUCUUCUGCUUGGAACUUUGUUUAACCUGCCUACUUCUGUCAAGGUUUCUACUCGGCGUCUGCUACCUGCCUGUCCUCCGGCUCAACUGGAUCUCGCGGUGCUCACCUGGCCCACUCGCCAUUCCACGGACUUCCUGCCCCCACGGACUGCCACACUUCCCUCCCGAGCUCCCACGGUUCCGUUCUAUCCCCCCCGCCGUCCCGAUCCCGGCUUCCUCGUGUCAUUGUUUCCCCGGAUUUUUAGUUUCUGUUUUGCUCUCUACUUUCCCCGGGUCGCCUUUCGUUGUUUUAAUAAAGUGUCUUUUUGUUA
ensembl:lncRNA